GUCCUUUUGAGUUUAAUUUAAGGUCUAACCUGCCCAAUGAAAAAUUUAAAUGGCCGCAGUAUUUUGACUGUGCAAAGGUAGCAUAAUCAUUAGUUUUUUAAUUGAAAGCUUGUAUGAAGGGUUGGACGAGAUAAAAACUGUCUUAAGUUAAUUUAUUUUAGAAUUUAAUUUUUAAGUUAAAAAGCUUAAAUAUUAUUAAAAGACGAGAAGACCCUAUAGAUCUUUAUAAUUUUAGUUUUAAUUAAAUUUUAGAAUUUAUUAUUAUUUAAUACAAAAAUUAUUAUAUUGGGGUAAUAUAAAGAUUUAAGUAAUUCUUUAUUUAUUUAUACAUUAAUUUAUGGUUAUUUGAUCCAAUAUUAUUGAUUAUAAGAUUAAGUUACCUUAGGGAUAACAGCGUAAUUUUUUUAGAGAGUUCAUAUCGAUAAAAAAGUUUGCGACCUCGAUGUUGGAUUAAAAAUUAUCCUAGGUGCAGAAGUUUAGGAUUUUGGUCUGUUCGACCAUUAAAUUUUU
rnacentral:rRNA from 1 species